UUCCACCAUUUCAAUUCUAUCCAUUCACAAAAGAAUUUUAAUUCAAUUCCAUGAAGAAACAGGUCAAAUCGGAUCUUUACGGGUCAAAAAUAAAAAAUAAAAACGGGUCGUAUAAAAAAGAAGAAAAUUAGAUCAUUUCUCCUCUCCCUCUGCCACAACCGCUUUCUCUCUCCCUGUUCUUUGUGCCCUAGCCGCUUUCUCUCUCUGCAACUGCAAUGCACCCCAGCUUCAUGUCUUAUGAUCGAUUGAUAAUCAGCUGGGAGGCCAAGAUUCAAGGGUUCCGGGAUUUGGUGGUCUCAGAGAGUGAGGUGGUGGAGAUAUUCAGGAAGUCGCUGUUGGUGAUCUGCACUUUGUUGGAUAAGUGCAGGGAGAUCAAGAGGCUUCUCCACUGGGAGGUUUAGAUGGGUGAUCUGAUCAGUGAUCCUUCGACCCUUCGACCCUCAUGGGACCAUUCGAUUAACGGACAGAGUUUGGGGUAUUGUGAUGCGAAUGUGCAUAAUGAUGUUAGCACUUCUAGUAACCUUGGUUCCGUGAGGGCUGAUUUGGGUUGGAACCCAAGUGCAAUGCUGUGAGGGGGUACGUUAAUGCCGCCUGUUUCUGGUAUGCUGCCUAACUUUCUGGCUGAUUCUGGUUUCAUCGAGAGGGCAGCGAGACUUUCGUGCUUCAGAAGGGGGAAUAUUGGUGAAAUAAUGAACCCAUUUGAUGUUCCUAAUCCGUUGAAUCUGUUCUUGUGGGACAUGGGCAUGGUUCACUAGCAAAGACAUGAAAUGAACAUGGCCAAGUUGUCCAAAGAGGGAGGUCUGUUUCUGGGGAGACGGGGGCUGAAGGGAGCCCUUUCAAGAAUGAGAAGAGGAGCUAGAGUUUGCAUGAUGAGGCUAAAAAGGUAGGUGAGGUGUCGGGUAAUUACUCUGAUGAGGCUAAGUGUAGCGAUCUUGGCCCUGAAGAGGAGGUGGUCUGCCUGACGGGGGAAUCUCCUAGUGAAGGGCUUGGCUCUAAGAAGAGGAGGAGAAAAGGGGUAGGUUUUGAUCUUGUUUUGUUGUUUAUGGAGUAUUUUAUUUGCAUAUUGCAACAAAAAUGUGUGCAGCUUAGUCUUUUGUAAUUAGAUUCAGUUGUGUUUGCAUUUACUAUUCAAAUAAGUGAUUAAAAAUAUUUUUUUUUA